AUCAACUGAAGGAUAAAUCCAGCUCACUAGGUGCUUGUACAUGGUAGCAACUUGAUCAACAUUUAUUUAAAAGGUGUUUCUUGUAGGGUGGGCAAAUUGCAAGACAAAUCAUCACAAUAAAAUGAUAUCAUAUGCAUAUAUGAGAGAGUUCCUAUAAGCAUAAUAAAGGGCUUUCCAGUGAAGGAGAAAGACCACACUGCUACUACAGAGCCUGGUGAGCUGUCAGGAUGCAGAGUGGUCAGAAUUCACUGACAGCAUCUUAGGAGAGAGGUGGAACACCAGUGACUACCUCCUUUCAGCACUACUUCUAUAUAAAUGACUCAUGGUGCCACCUCUGCCUGCCCCAGACUGCUGUGUUUGACGCCCAAUUAACUACACGCUGUUGUUGAUGAAUCAGCAUACCCGGGAGUCUAUUGUGCCAGGAAUUCAGGCAGGAAUGCACCAUAGACUCCAAUGAGAAGAAAUGCAAAAAGAUUCAGGUAGACAAGGCCCUACAUCAAUGUGAAGGGGACCUGGACAAAAUCAGAGUAUUCCUCUUAUUUUUAGCCAAACUUGUGAUACUAUAACUGUGCCCACCUGUUAUUUGGAAGUAAAAAAUCUAUCUCACACAAGCCUCACUGGGCAGAGGCUCACCUUCUCCUGAGGGUCCUCCCAGUCAAGAGCUGGGCAAGGCCAUUUCUGUUUCAUUUGCCAACUGAGAAAGGUGGCCUUGGGAAGAGUGCUUCUGGCUCCAGCCUCUGCUCACGCCUUCAAUUUUUGUUGUCACCAUUGAUCAACACAGGCACAUAAGGAACAGAUCAGAUGACUAGUACGGUGUGCUGGGGGCCAUAAUAAAAGGUGGUUGGGUUUGAGUCGGCUUAGUUUAAG